GGGGGUAAGGGGUACUCUAAGGGUAAAUACAAUGCAUAUCAUCUGAAAGAUAAACUUUUUAUGAAUCGAAUGGUGUAUGGAACAAAAAAUUUGAGACUGAAUUGACGGAGAAAUAAGGGUUUUAAGCAAAUAGGUGAAAAAAGUAGUUGGGUACCUUCUCGUAAAUAUACGUUGAUAGUGGGUCUUCCAAUGGAUAGAAACAAGUGCCUGUGGUUAUACAGCACUUUCGAAAACAUCAUCGGCAAAUUUGAUUCAUAACAAUAUUUCAAAUAAAUGUGAACAAUUUCAGUUUUCUUCAAAUAAAAACAUCUAAACAAGUUUGUCCAGUUAAGACUGUAAAAACAGUAAAAACUCCGGGCUGAUGAACAAAACUAUAAAAUCUGGA
rnacentral:lncRNA from 1 species